GGAUGCGAUCAUACCAGCACUAAUGCAUCGGAUCCCAUCAGAACUCCGAAGAUAAGCGUGCUUGGGCGAGAGUAGUACUAGGAUGGGUGACCUCCUGGGAAGUCCUCGUGUUGCAUUCC
rnacentral:rRNA from 16 species